rnacentral:tRNA from 1 species
CAUUGGAUAGCUAGAAGUAAGCGCAAGCCUCUUAAGCUUUGUAAUGUUAGAAUAACGCCUAACUUCAAUGA